rnacentral:rRNA from 1 species
GAUGAACGCUGGCGGCGCGCUUAACACAUGCAAGUCGAACGGAAAGGCCUGCUUUUCCUUGUGGUUUGCGGGUACUCGAGUGGCGAACGGGUGAGUAACACGUGAGUGAUCUGCCCCCAACUUGGGUAUAAGCCUGGGAAACUGGGCCUAAUUCCCGAUAGGACUGCAGGGUGGUGCCUGUGGUGGAAAACGAUUUUCUAGUGGUUGGGGAUGAGCUCGCGGCCUAUCAGCUUGUUGGUGGGGUAAUGGCCUACCAAGGCGGCGACGGGUAGCCGGCCUGGGAGGGUGGACGGCCACAUUGGGACUGAGAUACGGCCCAGACUCCUACGGGAGGCAGCAGUGGGGAAGAUUGCACAAUGGGCGGAAGCCUGAUGCAGCGACGCCGCGUGGGGGAUGACGGCCUUCGGGUUGUAAACUCCUUUCGACCGCGAGGAAGCCACCUGGUUGGAAGGGUGGUGACGGUAGUGGUAGAAGAAGCACCGGCUAACUACGUG